rnacentral:rRNA from 1 species
GCGAAAACUUUACAAUGCUGGCAACAGCGAUAAGGGAACCUCGAGUGCCAGGUUACAAAUCUGGCUGUCGAGAUGCCUAAAAAGCAUUUCAUAGCAAGGGCCGGGCAAGACCGGUGCCAGCCGCCGCGGUAACACCGGCGGCUCAAGUGGUAACCGUUAUUAUUGGGUCUAAAGGGUCUGUAGCCGGCCGGAUAAGUCUCUUGAGAAAUCUGGCAGCUUAACUGUCAGGCUUUCAGGAGAUACUGUCUGGCUCGAGGCCGGGAGAGGUGGGAGGUACUUCAGGGGUAGUGGUGAAUUCUUGUAAUCCUUGAAGGUCCACCAGUGGCGAAGGCGUCUCACCAGAACGGACCUGACGGCAAGGGACGAAAGCUAGGGGCAUGAACC